GCAAGUCGAGGGGCAGCAUUAUCCGCUUGCGGAUAGAUGGCGACCGGCGCACGGGUGCGCACCGCGUAUGGAACCUGCCCUUUACAGGGGAAUAGCCCAGGGAAACUUGGAUUAAUGCCCCGUGGUAUCCCGACCGCGCAUGCGCGUUGGGAUUAAAGCCUUCGGGCGGUAGAGGAUGGCCAUGCGUCCCAUUAGCUUGAUGGUAAGGUAACGGCCUACCAUGGCGACGAUGGGUAGGGGCCCUGAGAGGGGGAUC
rnacentral:rRNA from 1 species